rnacentral:rRNA from 1 species
AACGAACGCUGGCGGCAUGCCUAACACAUGCAAGUCGAACGAGACCUUCGGGUCUAGUGGCGCACGGGUGCGUAACGCGUGGGAACCUGCCCUUAGGUUCGGAAUAACUCCCCGAAAGGGGUGCUAAUACCGGAUAAUGUCUUCGGACCAAAGAUUUAUCGCCUUUGGAUGGGCCCGCGUUGAAUUAGCUAGUUGGUAGGGUAAAAGCCUACCAAGGCGACGAUCCAUAGCUGGUCUGAGAGGAUGAUCAGCCACACUGGGACUGAGACACGGCCCAGACUCCUACGGGAGGCAGCAGUGGGGAAUAUUGGACAAUGGGCGAAAGCCUGAUCCAGCAAUGCCGCGUGAGUGAUGAAGGCCUUAGGGUUGUAAAGCUCUUUUAACCGGGAUGAUAAUGACAGUACCGGGAGAAUAAGCUCCGGCUAACUCCGUG